GUCAACUACCCCUCCCUAAAAUCUCCGAUUUUAGAGUAAGGGGCUUGCAAAAGCCCUGGUUGACCAGACCCCCGAUUCGGAGCUUAGGAAAAUCGGGAAACGAUAGGAACGAAUUUCAUAGUUACCCUGAAAUGCCGCCUCAGUUUCAGGCUCUAAG
rnacentral:sRNA from 17 species